rnacentral:rRNA from 1 species
AACGAACGCUGGCGGCAGGCCUAAAACAUGCAAGUCGAACGAACCUUCGGGUUAGUGGCGCACGGGUGCGUAACGUGUGGGAAUGUGCCUCUGGGUGCGGAACAACGUCGGGAAACUGACGCUAAUACCGCAUAAUAUCUACGGAUCAAAGAUUUAUCGCCCAGAGAUCAGCCCGCGUCUGAUUAGGUAGUUGGUAGGGUAAUGGCCUACCAAGCCGACGAUCAGUAGCUGGUCUGAGAGGAUGAUCAGCCACACUGGAACUGAGACACGGUCCAGACUCCUACGGGAGGCAGCAGUUAGGAAUAUUGGACAAUGGGCGAAAGCCUGAUCCAGCCAUGCCGCGUGAGUGAAGAAGGCCUUAGGGUUGUAAAGCUCUUUCGGCUGUGAAGAUAAUGACAGUAGCAGAAGAGGAAGCCCCGGCUAAAUUCGUGCCAGCCGCCGCGGUAA